rnacentral:ncRNA from 14 species
AAGAACCACUAGGGGAGCCAUCUGGCUGAGAAAAGCGCUGCUUUGACCCUUUGAACCUGAUCUGGCUUGUACCAGCGUAGGGAAGUGGAGAACAAUUGCU